UACGUAGGGACCAAGCGUUGUUCGGAUUUACUGGGCGUAAAGGGCGCGUAGGCGGCAUGACAAGUCACUUGUGAAAUCUCCGGGCUUAACUCGGAACGGCCAAGUGAUACUGUCAAGCUAGAGUGCAGAAAGGGCAAUCGGAAUUCUUGGUGUAGCGGUGAAAUGCGUAGAUAUCAGGAGGAACACCGAUGGCGAAGGCAGGUCUCUGGGCCACUACUGACGCUGAGAAGCGAAAGCAUGGGGAGCGAACAGG
rnacentral:rRNA from 1 species